rnacentral:rRNA from 1 species
AUUGAACGCUGGCGGCAGGCCUAACACAUGCAAGUCGAACGAGUGGCGGACGGGUGAGUAAUGUCUGGGAAACUGCCUUAUGGAGGGGGAUAACGACUGGAAACGGUAGCUAAUACCGCAUACCAUCGGAUGUGCCCAGAUGGGAUUAGCUAGUCGGUGGGGGAAAGGCUCACCUAGGCGACGAUCCCUAGCUGGUCUGAGAGGAUGACCAGCCACACUGGGACGGAGACACGGCCCAGACUCCUACGGGAGGCAGCAGUGGGGAAUAUUGCACAAUGGGCGCAAGCCUGAUGCAGCCAUGCCGCGUGGAUGAAGAAGGCCUUCGGGUUGUAAAGUACUUUCAGUGGGGAGGCGUUACCCGCAGAAGAAGCACCGGCUAACUCCGUGCCAGCAGCCGCGGUAAUAC